CAGUCGCCGCGGUAAUACGUAGGGUGCGAGCGUUAAUCGGAAUUACUGGGCGUAAAGCGUGCGCAGGCGGUUAUAUAAGACAGAUGUGAAAUCCCCGGGCUCAACCUGGGACCUGCAUUUGUGACUGUAUAGCUAGAGUACGGUAGAGGGGGAUGGAAUUCCGCGUGUAGCAGUGAAAUGCGUAGAUAUGCGGAGGAACACCGAUGGCGAAGGCAAUCCCCUGGACCUGUACUGACGCUCAUGCACGAAAGCGUGGGGAGCAAACAGGAUUAGAUACCCCUGUAGUCCCUGUCUCUUAUAC
rnacentral:rRNA from 1 species